rnacentral:tRNA from 1 species
UAAGUAUUAGUAUAUGAUGUACAAAAGUUUUUGAUGCUUUAAGUAAUAGUUUGAUUCUAUUAUAUUUAA